CAGCAGCCACGGUAAUACGAAGGGUGCAAGCGUUAAUCGGAAUUACUGGGCGUAAAGCGUGCGUAGGCGGUGAGUUAAGUCUGCUGUGAAAUCCCCGGGCUCAACCUGGGAAUUGCAGUGGAUACUGGGUCACUAGAGUGUGGUAGAGGAUAGUGGAAUUUCCGGUGUAGCAGUGAAAUGCGUAGAGAUCGGAAGGAACAUCUGUGGCGAAGGCGACUAUCUGGGCCAACACUGACACUGAGGCACGAAAGCGUGGGGAGCAAACAGGAUUAGAUACCCCAGUAGUCCCUGUCUCUUAUAA
rnacentral:rRNA from 1 species